AGAAUGAGUUGAGAUGAUUAUAGGUCGGUAUAUAGCUAUAUAUACACACAAACUGAGAAACGCAAACGCCAAUGAUCAGGACCUGGACUGUGUAUGUAUACUGAAUGAUUCACAAAGCUCCAGGGUUGUGAUAGUUGCAGCCACGACACACUGGUUUGCAGGUUCCGUCGCUUGGUCUGGUGCAUCAGGGGAGGGUCCUGAUGCUACCCGGUGUUGAGCAGGACGUCACGGCCUGGUCAGCGUGGACUCCAUCGCUGACUGGCUGCUUCUUUGUGCCGUCGUGACCGGGCAUGCUCUGGUGUUUCUGCAUCUUGGUUGGCUGUGGCCAGUGUUGUACUGGUUUAAUGCUCACACAUAAAUAUUUAUCAGGGGAACAAUCUUGUUUCAACAAUCAGGACUUGUAAUAUUUAUCUCCUUUGCACGUUUUGUAACAUCUGCCCUUAAUUUUCAUCCGUCUUUAGAUGCCACAAGUGUUGUGCUCUUUGCA